AGUGAACGCUGGCGGUAGGCCUAACACAUGCAAGUCGAACGGCAGCACAGUAAGAGCUUGCUCUUACGGGUGGCGAGUGGCGGACGGGUGAGGAAUACAUCGGAAUCUACUUUUUCGUGGGGGAUAACGUAGGGAAACUUACGCUAAUACCGCAUACGACCUGCGGGUGAAAGCAGGGGAUCUUCGGACCUUGCGCGAUUGAAUGAGCCGAUGUCGGAUUAGCUAGUUGGCGGGGUAAAGGCCCACCAAGGCGACGAUCCGUAGCUGGUCUGAGAGGAUGACCAGCCACGCUGCACCUUGGACCCGGCCCAGCCCCCUCGGGGAUGCCGCGGUGGGAAUUUUGGACCAUGGGGCGCAACCCUAUCCCAGCCUUCCCGCGUGGGUAAAGAAGGCCUUCGGUUUGUAAAGCCUUUUUUUGGGAAAAAAAAAGCCGCGGGUUAACCCCCCGCUUUUCUGCCGUUCCCCAAAAAAAAACCCCCGCCAACCUUCGG
rnacentral:rRNA from 1 species